AGCGAACGCUGGCGGCAGGCUUAACACAUGCAAGUCGAGCGGGCCCUUCGGGGUCAGCGGCAGACGGGUGAGUAACGCGUGGGAACGUGCCCUUCGGUUCGGAAUAACUCAGGGAAACUUGAGCUAAUACCGGAUACGCCCUUCUGGGGAAAGGCUUGACUGCCGAAGGAUCGGCCCGCGUCUGAUUAGCUAGUUGGUGAGGUUACGGCUCACCAAGGCGACGAUCAGUAGCUGGUCUGAGAGGAUGAUCAGCCACACUGGGACUGAGACACGGCCCAGACUCCUACGGGAGGCAGCAGUGGGGAAUAUUGGACAAUGGGGGCAACCCUGAUCCAGCCAUGCCGCGUGAGUGAUGACGGCCUUAGGGUUGUAAAGCUCUUUUCUCCGGGACGAUAAUGACGGUACCGGAGGAAUAAGCCCCGGCUAACUUCGUGCCAGCCGCCGCCGUAA
rnacentral:rRNA from 1 species